AAAUUACUCCCUCCGUCUGAAAAUACUUGUCAUCAAAAUGGAUAAAGGGAGAUGUAUCUCAAACUAUGUCUAGAUAUAUUCCUUUUUAUCCAUUUUGAGGACAAGUAUUUCCGGACGGAGGGAGUACAUA
rfam:Triticum urartu cultivar G1812 contig422726, whole genome shotgun sequence.